rnacentral:rRNA from 1 species
UGGGGAAUUUUGGACAAUGGGCGCAAGCCUGAUCCAGCAAUGCCGCGUGCAGGAUGAAGGCCUUCGGGUUGUAAACUGCUUUUAUACGGAGCGAAAAGGUCUGCCCUAAUACGGUGGGCUCAUGACGGUACCGUAAGAAUAAGCACCGGCUAACUACGUGCCAGCAGCCGCGGUAAUACGUAGGGUGCGAGCGUUAAUCGGACUUACUGGGCGUAAAGCGUGCGCAGGCGGUGAUGUAAGACAGAUGUGAAAUCCCCGGGCUCAACCUGUGACCUGCAUUUGUGACUGCAUAGCUGGAGUGCGGCAGAGGGGGAUGGAAUUCCGCGUGUAGCAGUGAGAUGCGUAGAUAUGCGGAGGAACACAGAUGGCGAAGGCAAUCCCCUGGGCCUGCACUGACGCUCAUGCACGAAAGCGUGGGGAGCAAACA